rnacentral:rRNA from 1 species
UACGUAGGGUGCAAGCGUUGUCCGGAAUUAUUGGGCGUAAAGAGCUCGUAGGCGGUUUGUCGCGUCUGCUGUGAAAACCCAGGGCUUAACCCUGGGCCUGCAGUGGGUACGGGCAAACUAGAGUGCGGUAGGGGAGAUCGGAAUUCCUGGUGUAGCGGUGAAAUGCGCAGAUAUCAGGAGGAACACCGGUGGCGAAGGCGGAUCUCUGGGCCGUAACUGACGCUGAUGCGCGACAGCGUGGGGAGCAAACAGG